AUCGUAUAGAUAAAAUUCUGAUGGUUCUUCUUCCAAUGUUGGGAUUGGUGUACUACACAAGUAAUGAUUGGAGAAUUGCAGCUGAGGAAAAUUUUGAAGAAGAUAGCACAGAUGCUGACUAUGAGGAAAGUGAAGAUGAUCUUGAAGGACGGUUCUGUGUUUUCUGUACAAAACUCGAUCUCACAAGGAAACGGGCCAUUCAUGACCUGAAAUGUACUUGUUA
rnacentral:misc_RNA from 1 species